rnacentral:rRNA from 1 species
AUUGAACGCUGGCGGCAUGCCUUACACAUGCAAGUCGAACGGCAGCACGGGGCAACCUGGUGGCGAGUGGCGAACGGGUGAGUAAUACAUCGGAACGUGCCCUGUAGUGGGGGAUAACUAGUCGAAAGAUUAGCUAAUACCGCAUACGACCUGAGGGUGAAAGUGGGGGACCGCAAGGCCUCAUGCUAUAGGAGCGGCCGAUGUCUGAUUAGCUAGUUGGUGGGGUAAAGGCCUACCAAGGCGACGAUCAGUAGCUGGUCUGAGAGGACGAUCAGCCACACUGGGACUGAGACACGGCCCAGACUCCUACGGGAGGCAGCAGUGGGGAAUUUUGGACAAUGGGCGAAAGCCUGAUCCAGCAAUGCCGCGUGUGUGAAGAAGGCCUUCGGGUUGUAAAGCACUUUUGUCCGGAAAGAAAUGGCUCUGGUUAAUACCUGGGGUCGAUGACGGUACCGGAAGAAUAAGGACCGGCUAACUACGUGCCAGCCGCCGCGGUAAAAC